rnacentral:rRNA from 1 species
ACACAAAUAUGAAGGCGGGCUGGAACCUCUCGGGGUUACAGCCUUGCUGAAUUAUUCACCCUUGUCUUUUGCGUACUUCUUGUUUCCUUGGUGGGUUCGCCCACCACUAGGACAAACAUAAACCUUUUGUAAUUGCAAUCAGCGUCAGUAACAAAUUAAUAAUUACAACUUUCAACAACGGAUCUCUUGGUUCUGGCAUCGAUGAAGAACGCAGCGAAAUGCGAUAAGUAGUGUGAAUUGCAGAAUUCAGUGAAUCAUCGAAUCUUUGAACGCACAUUGCGCCCUUUGGUAUUCCAAAGGGCAUGCCUGUUCGAGCGUCAUUUGUACCCUCAAGCUUUGCUUGGUGUUGGGCGUCUUGUCUCUAGCUUUGCUGGAGACUCGCCUUAAAGUAAUUGGCAGCCGGCCUACUGGUUUCGGAGCGCAGCACAAGUCGCACUCUCUAUCAGCAAAGGUCUAGCAUCCAUUAAGCCUUUUUUUCAACUUUUGACCUCGGAUCAGGUAGGGAUACCCGCU